AAGUCGUAACAAGGUCUCCGUUGGUGAACCAGCGGAGGGAUCAUUACAGAGUGUAAAAACUCCCAAAACCCAUGUGAACAUACCUUUUUGUUGCUUCGGCGGGAUCGCCCCGGGCGCCUUGUGUGCCCCGGAGUCAGGCGCCCGCCGGGGGACCCAAACUCUUGUUUUUAACGAGUAUCUUCUGAGUAACGUUUUUAAAUAAAUAAAAACUUUCAACAACGGAUCUCUUGGUUCUG
rnacentral:misc_RNA from 1 species